rfam:Lactobacillus backii strain TMW 1.1989 plasmid pL11989-5, complete sequence.
UAAUGUAAUAGAAAAGGGAAGCCUUGCGCUAACAAGACUUCCCAUGCAAGCCGCUUCAAAGGCGGUGGCAGAAAUUUAAUAAACGAUUUU